rnacentral:tRNA from 1 species
CCGACCUUAGCUCAGUUGGUAGAGCGGAGGACUGUAGUCGGGUCAAAUAAAACCCACAGUUAAUCCUUAGGUCACUGGUUCGAAUCCGGUAGGUCGGA